rnacentral:rRNA from 1 species
AUGAACGCUGGCGGCGUGCUUAACCCAUGCAAGUCGAACGGAAAGGCCCAAGCUUGCUUGGGUACUCGAGUGGCGAACGGGUGAGUAACACGUGGGUGAUCUGCCCUGCACUUCGGGAUAAGCCUGGGAAACUGGGUCUAAUACCGGAUAGGACCACUUCUUGGAUGUUGUGGUGGAAAGUUUUUUCGGUGUGGGAUGAGCUCGCGGCCUAUCAGCUUGUUGGUGGGGUAAUGGCCUACCAAGGCGUCGACGGGUAGCCGGCCUGAGAGGGUGUACGGCCACAUUGGGACUGAGAUACGGCCCAGACUCCUACGGGAGGCAGCAGUGGGGAAUAUUGCACAAUGGGCGCAAGCCUGAUGCAGCGACGCCGCGUGGGGGAUGACGGCCUUCGGGUUGUAAACUCCUUUCGCUAGGGACGAAGCGUUUUGUGACGGUACCUGGAGAAGAAGCACCGGCUAACUACGUG